rnacentral:rRNA from 1 species
GACGAACGCUGGCGGCGUGCUUAACACAUGCCAGUCGAACGGAAAGGCCCCUUUGGGGGUACUCGAGUGGCGAACGGGUGAGUAACACGUGAGUAACCUGCCCUUGACUUCGGGAUAACUUCAGGAAACUGGGGCUAAUACCGGAUAGGAAUCCUUGCUGCAUGGUGGGGGUUGGAAAGCUUCGGCGGUUUUGGAUGGACUCGCGGCUUAUCAGCUUGUUGGUGGGGUAGUGGCUUACCAAGGCUUUGACGGGUAGCCGGCCUGAGAGGGCGACCGGCCACAGUGGGACUGAGAUACGGCCCAGACUCCUACGGGAGGCAGCAGUGGGGAAUAUUGCACAAUGGGCGGAAGCCUGAUGCAGCAACGCCGCGGGCGGGAGGACGGCCUUCGGGUUGUAAACCGCUUUCAGCAGGGGCGAAGCUUGUGGUGACGGUACCUGCAGAAGAAGCACCGGCUAACUACGUG